UGCGGCUGGAUCACCUCCUUUCUAAGGGAGAUGUUGAGUAUCAUUGAAUUUAUUGAGUGAUCUGAACGUUUUUUGAAGAUAAAGCUUUUUAUUAAGCUUGAUAUAAAUUUGCUGUUGUGAAGCA
rnacentral:misc_RNA from 1 species